rnacentral:rRNA from 1 species
UACGUAGGGUGCAAGCGUUGUCCGGAAUUAUUGGGCGUAAAGAGCUCGUAGGCGGUUUGUCGCGUCUGGUGUGAAAAUCCAGGGCUUAACCCUGGACCUGCAUCGGGUACGGGCAGACUAGAGUGCGGUAGGGGGAGAUCGGAAUUCCUGGUGUAGCGGUGAAAUGCGCAGGAUAUCAGGAGGAACACCGGUGGCGAAGGCGGGUCUCUGG